AAUGUAUGACCCUAUAAAAAAGGAAGGAAGGAAGGAAGGAAGCAAGAAAGCAAGAAAGCAAGAAAGCAAGAAAGCAAGAAAGAAAGAAAGAAAGAAAAGCCCUCACUUGUGAAAAACCUUUUAAAGAGGAUAAUUCAUUUCUAUAUGGUAUAACUAGGUUAUGAAAUAACGCAAGAUCAGAGCCAUCUGUAUUUAGUAUUUAAAAACCUCACUAGCUGGAGUUAGGGCCUGAAGAGCACAAGAUACAAUUGAGUGUGAACGGCUGUGCCCACUGCAGCAGCUGCAUCCCAGGACUUGGCAGAGGUGACACAGGAGACCAGGCCCAGAGACCCAGGACCAAGAGCUGGAGAGCUGCAUCCUGGACCACUUCACUGAGUGCAAGUGGUCCAAUGAUGCCUGCAUCAGCAGCAGCACUUAUAGACACUUCCGAGAGCAGAAGUUCCAGCUGAAGCCCCUGGCCUGGGGCACCGAGUGGACCUGGUGGUAGGGCCAAGUUCACCACCUCAGCCUUCCCAGGAGCAUGCUGCUGCAGGCCAUCACCAACCCUCAGCUCAUCAAUGGCUUCUUUGCAAAGUGAACAGAGGACAUUAAAGAGUUGGCUGUGUACCUGGCCUCUUGACAUGGGAACUGCAGAGACUCAACCGAGACCACUUUACGAAAUCACCCCUGGUUUGGAUGGGAAUAAGCAUUACCCUACUCUACUUCUCCACUACAGUUCCAGUACCCCAUCACCUCAGAUUUUCUAUUACAAUCAGGUUAAUCCCAUCUCCUCUGCCAUAUUAACUGAAGAUAACCCAGACCAAAGACAACAAUCAAGAUGGCUUAUUCUCAUAGAGCUGAUUAAUAAAAGAACAUGUUAACAAGUUGAAUCUAAUGAGAAAUGAAGUAGGAAAAUUGAAUUGCAUUUAUUAAUGAAGUGGCUAACAGCAAACCAGAGCUUUCCAAAACACAAUGCAGAAAUUGCUGUUUGAAG
rnacentral:lncRNA from 1 species